AGCUCCAAUAGCGUAUAUUAAAGUUGCUGCAGUUAAAAAGCUCGUAGUUGGAUUUCUGGUUUGAUACAGUUUACCGGCCACGGUUUCGUGUGUUAGUGUUUUCUGUUCUGACCAUCCUUCCAAUCGCUGUCACUUUUCUUCAUUGAUUUGUGUGUGGUAUUGGAUCUUUUACUUUGAAAAAAUUAGAGUGUUUCAAGCAGGCUUAUGCUAUGAAUACAUUAGCAUGGAAUAAUAAUUUAGGACUUCGGUUCUAUUUUGUUGGUUUCUAGGACUGAAGUAAUGAUUGAUAGGGAUAGUUGGGGGUGCUAGUAUUCAGCGGCCAGAGGUGAAAUUCUCGGAUUCGCUGAAGACUAACUUAUGCGAAAGCAUUCACCAAGGAUGUCUUCU
rnacentral:rRNA from 1 species